rnacentral:misc_RNA from 1 species
UUGCCAGGAACCAUCGAGCACAACGCGAGUAGUUCAUGCUCUGAGGGCCGCUUGCGAAGGCUCUCGCAGGGGGGAGGACAGACGGCUACUAGAAGGCAUAGAUGGCGCGCUGGCGGUGACUGAAAUUGUUGAGGAGAGAGGACCCGAGCGAGUGUGCGGACGAGGCGAGGCACGCAGGCAUUGGCGGUCGUCAGGUUAGUGUCUUGCGUUGGCCGGUGGCGGGCA